UGCCUCAGUGUUUCCCAGUGGACUGAAGGCAUUCAUGUUGAGAAUCCCUGUCUCAGCCUGAGCUCAGAGAGCACUUGCAGAACUGUUUCCUGUUGAUUGUGCUUUUUGGAAUCCGUUUUUAUACAUCUUCAACUGUGCACUGUCUUUAUCUUGCUCUGAAGUCUCUCACAUCCCUCGGGAGGAUGAACUCACCAUAGAAUGACCAGUACAGCGAGGCAGCAUUCAAUUCUGAUGUCACAAAGAAGUUCAUUUGCAUUGGAGCCUCCUGGAUUGCCUGCAGCUCACUGCACUACUUUUCUAGCAAAUGUGUGGAAUUCCCAGCAGGAUGAGCACUUGUGAUUCCAGUGCCUCAUGUAGCUGGAGUUAGAAGACUUCAUUGACAAGCUUGGCUUG